GAGAAAGAAGUAUACCUGUGUUGUGCGCCUAGCUUGAAACUAGGAGGAGGGGGUUCGAGUCCUUCCUUUCUUG
rnacentral:tRNA from 1 species